rnacentral:misc_RNA from 1 species
GAUGAAGAACGCAGCGAAAUGCGAUAAGUAAUGUGAAUUGCAGAAUUCAGUGAAUCAUCGAAUCUUUGAACGCACAUUGCGCCCGUCAGUAUUCUGGCGGGCAUGCCUGUUCGAGCGUCAUUACGCCCCUCAAGUCCCCUGUGGACUUGGUGUUGGGGAUCGGCGAGGCUGGUUUUCCAGCACAGCCGUCCCUUAAAUUAAUUGGCGGUCUCGCCGUGGCCCUCCUCUGCGCAGUAGUAAAACACUCGCAACAGGAGCCCGGCGCGGUUCACUGCCGUAAAACCCCCCAACUUUUUAUAGUUGACCUCGAAUCAGGUAGGACUACCCGCUGAACUUAAGCAUAUCAAUAAGCGGAGGA